rnacentral:rRNA from 1 species
GUAGUCUGCAACCCGACUACAUGAAGCUGGAAUCGCUAGUAAUCGCGAAUCAGAAUGUCGCGGUGAAUACGUUCCCGGGUCUUGUACACACCGCCCGUCACACCAUGGGAGGUCGGAAAUGCCCGAAGUCAGUGACCCAACCGCAAGGAGGGAGCUGCCGAAGGUGUGGAGGGUAAGGGGGGUGAAGUCGUAACAAGGUACC